GGUGAUUGGAUGAAUGUGGGGUAUUUUUAAGUAUAAAAACUAAUUUAAAAAGUAACACUGCAUUGUUUUCUGAAGAGAAUGAAAUAUUUCAUGAGUCUCUGUGAUAAUUUUGACUUGGAUAUUUGCAUUUAUAAAAAGUGUAUGUCAGUCCUGUGAUCAGCAGAAAAUUUCAAUGAAAUGGGGGGUAAUCCUCUUUGAAGUCAUUUUGCAAAAAAUUUGGUUGGCUACCCCUAUAUAACAGGAACAUUUUUAUGUGUCAGGCAUUUCAUUCUGCUAGAAAAAUUACCUCUUUAGCAUGAAAACUCAAUUUUAAGGUAGGAUCAGGGACCAUUUCUUAUAAUGUAAGUCUAUGGAAAUAUCAAUGCGAGUGUCUGACCUAAAGAGAGGGAAAUUGGAACUGUCAUAAUUCAUUUGUUGUACUUUGUCUUCAUUGAUACGCCACGAAAAGCUGAUAUUUUGGAAGAAUGGAUGUAUACAGCCUGUCUAGAUUUCAAAGAAAUGCUGUACAUUGGAUAUACACAUGCCAGGUUUGAAGACUUAUGUAUAACUUGACAGGACCUGAUGUAAGCACAUUGGCCACUUUUGAUGGGUGUUGCAGAAUAUCCGGAAUGCAACAUAGUGGUGCCUGUUAGAAAAAAGGGAACUUCAAAGCUUUAAAUGACUUAAGAGUGGUGAAAAUGCAUCCAUAUAAUUGGUAAUUGUAUAUGCAACUUCAUUUAUUAUUAGAUAUUAGAAUACUAAACAUUUAAUAUUCCCUUUAGGUCAGGGUAACGCAUUGUAACACGGCCAGCGAUUGGCUGAAAAAAAGUGCAGGGAAAACCGUAUGAGUCAAUUUAUACAUGAGGUGAUUGGAUGAAUGUGGGGUAUUUUUAAGUAUAAAAACUAAUUUAAAAAGUAACACUGCAUUGUUUUCUGAAGAAAAUGAAAUAUUUCAUGAGUCUCUGUGAUAAUUUUGACUUGGAUAUUUGCAUUUAUAAAAAGUGUAUGUCAGUCCUGUGAUCAGCAGAAAAUUUCAAUGAAAUGGGGGGUAAUCCUCUUUGAAGUCAUUUUGCAAAAAAAUUUAGUUGGCUACCCCUAUAUAACAGGAACAUUUUUAUGUGUCAGGCAUUUCAUUCUGCUAGAAAAAUUACCUCUUUAGCAUGAAAACUCAAUUUUAAGGUAGGAUCAGGGACCAUUUCUUAUAAUGUAAGUCUAU